GAAGUACAUGCAUGGGUGGAAGCAUGGGCUAACAAGGCUUGUGAGUGAGCUCAUUUGACUAUAAAAAGAAUGCAUGAGCUUCCUUCCUUCCACACAAACAAUUGCAGAUUUCUCUCCUCUCUAUCUCUUCUUCUUCUCAUGGGUACAACAUUACCACCACACAAACCACCUUAUUCCACCACUACUAGCCACCUUCCUUGAUCAAGAUCACCACCAAACACCCCCUUGAUCACCCCCAGCAGCUGCCCUCUCUCCCUUCCGUCGACCAGCUGCCAAACCAAGCUAGGAAACGACAACAGGAGGCUGCCGGCCAUCACCCACCACCACUGUGACGCUGCUGUUGUCACCUCAAGCCACCGCCAGCCACCAUCUCCUCCACCCAGAAAUCGAACUAAUCCCGGAGAUCACGACCUCACGGCAAUACAUUCUGGUCUUCAGAACUACUCGUUUACCACUCGAUAAGGAAAUCAGUGAAAUUACGGGCACACUCAGAUGAUGGAAAACAUGGCUCGCAAGUACUUUAAUUUUCUACUUUUGAACUGUUAUGCCUAACUGUUAAGGCAAAUUCGUAUUAUUAUCUUAUUACUAUCUGUAAGAACUUUGUAUGAAAACAUAAAUAUGUAAUGAAAUGUUGUUUUGUUUA